AAGACAGUGAGCCUUUGUGCAUGCAGAAACACAUCUGUGUGUAAAUAUAAACAAAAAGGCAUGAGAAAAAGCUAAAGAAAAUUAUUAACAGCAGUUACCUCUGGGCAGGUUGGUGAAACCACAUAAAGUCCAUUUGUUUAACGAGCACAGAUGAUCAAAGUUCAUGACAAAAAAGUAGCCUCUCAAAAACCUAGAAUGUCAAAGCCUACCUUUGGCACAUGAUUGUGUACUUAAGUGACCACAGAGUUCUGUUUAGAAGGGAAGUUGAAAACCAGGCUUGGAUGGAAACUGGAAUGUGUAAACAGAAACACCUCUGAGAAGGAAAACUGGAUGCAAUGGAUAGAGGAAAGCUGCUGAGAGCUGCAGCCCUGGGUUGUGUACUGCCUAAGGAUAGGCUCUGAUCUACCCAAGAACUGUGCAGAGUUGCCUUGUCAUUGUUGCAGGUUGGCGCGAAGGUUCACUAAGCUGAAUGGAGUGACAGGGAAAUGGUACCCCCUCCUCAGUCAGCUAAUUGUAGUGAUGUAGGAAUGUGAGAGUUGGAUCAUAAAGAAUCCUGAGCACCAAAGAACUGAUGCUUUUGAACUGAGGUCUUGGAGAAGACUCUUGAGAGUCCCUUG
ensembl:lncRNA